GAUAAACGCUGGCGGCGUGCCUAACACAUGCAAGUCGAACGAAGCUCUCUAAAUUGAGUUUUCGGACAAGGGGAAGAGAUGACUUAGUGGCGGACGGGUGAGUAAUGCGUGAGCAACCUGCCUUUCAGAGGGGGACAACAGUUGGAAACGACUGCUAAUACCGCAUAAUGUAUUUUGAUGGCAUCAUCGAAAUACCAAAGAUUAUAUCGCUGAAAGAUGGGCUCACGUCUGAUUAGCUAGUUGGUGAGGUAACGGCUCACCAAGGCUGCGAUCAGUAGCCGGACUGAGGGGUCGAACGGCCACAUUGGGACUGAGAUACGGCCCAGACUCCUACGGGAGGCAGCAGUGGGGAAUAUUGGGCAAUGGGCGCAAGCCUGACCCAGCAACGCCGCGUGAAGGAAGAAGGCUUUCGGGUUGUAAACUUCUUUUGGCAGGGACGAAACAAAUGACGGUACCUGCAGAAUAAGCACCGGCUAACUACGUGCCAGCAGCCGCGGUAA
rnacentral:rRNA from 1 species